UACGUAGGGUCCGAGCGUUGUUCGGAAUUACUGGGCGUAAAGCGUGCGCAGGCGGUGAUGUAAGACAGAUGUGAAAUCCCCGGGCUCAACCUGGGAACUGCAUUUGUGACUGCAUCGCUGGAGUGCGGCAGAGGGGGAUGGAAUUCCGCGUGUAGCAGUGAAAUGCGUAGAUAUGCGGAGGAACACCGAUGGCGAAGGCAAUCCCCUGGGCCUGCACUGACGCUCAUGCACGAAAGCGUGGGGAGCAAACAGG
rnacentral:rRNA from 1 species